AUUGAACGCUGGCGGCAGGCCUAACACAUGCAAGUCGAACGAGUGGCGGACGGGUGAGUAAUGUCUGGGCAACUGCCUGAUGGAGGGGGCUAACGACUGGAAAAGGUAGCAAAUACCGCAUAACAUCCGAUGGGCCCAGAUGGGAUUAGCUAGUAGGUGGGGUAAAGGCUCACCUAGGGGACGCUCCCUAGCUGGGCUGAGAGGAAUACCAGCCCCACUGGAACUGAGACACGGUCCAGACUCCUACGGGAGGCAGCAGUGGGGAAUAUUGCACAAUGGGCGCAAGUCUGAUGCAGCCAUGCCGCGUGUAUGAAGAAGGCCUUCGGGUUGUAAAGUACUUUCAGCGGGGAGGCGUUACCCACAGAAGAAGCACCGGCUAACUCCGUGCCAGCAGCCGCGGUAAUUC
rnacentral:rRNA from 1 species